AUUGAACGCUGGCGGAAUGCUUUACACAUGCAAGUCGAACGGCAGCACGGACUUCGGUCUGGUGGCGAGUGGCGAACGGGUGAGUAAUGUAUCGGAACGUGCCCAGUCGUGGGGGAUAACGUAGUGAAAAUUACGCUAAUACCGCAUACGAUCUAUGGAUGAAAGCGGGGGAUCGCAAGACCUCGCGCGAUUGGAGCGGCCGAUAUCAGAUUAGGUAGUUGGUGGGGUAAAGGCCCACCAAGCCAACGAUCUGUAGCUGGUCUGAGAGGACGCCCAGCAACACUGGAACUGGGAAACGGUCCAGACUCCUACAGGAGGCAGCAGUGGGGAAUUUUGGACAAUGGGCGAAAGCCUGAUCCAGCCAUUCCGCGUGCAGGAUGAAGGCCCUCGGGUUGUAAACUGCUUUUGUACAGAACGAAAAGGUUUCUACUAAUACUAGGAGCUCAUGACGGUACUGUAAGAAUAAGCACCGGCUAACUACGUGCCAGCCGCCGCCGUAA
rnacentral:rRNA from 1 species